UCCCUCUUAGCUCAGCUUGGUUAGAGCACCCGCCUUUUAAGCGGGGGGUCGUCGGUUCGAGGCCGACAGGGGGAA
rnacentral:tRNA from 1 species